AUGAACGCUAGCUACAGGCUUAACACAUGCAAGUCGAGGGGCAGCAUGGUCUUAGCUUGCUAAGGCCGAUGGCGACCGGCGCACGGGUGAGUAACACGUAUCCAACCUGCCGUCUACUCUUGGACAGCCUUCUGAAAGGAAGAUUAAUACAAGAUGGCAUCAUGAGUCCGCAUGUUCACAUGAUUAAAGGUAUUCCGGUAGACGAUGGGGAUGCGUUCCAUUAGAUAGUAGGCGGGGUAACGGCCCACCUAGUCUUCGAUGGAUAGGGGUUCUGAGAGGAAGGUCCCCCACAUUGGAACUGAGACACGGUCCAAACUCCUACGGGAGGCAGCAGUGAGGAAUAUUGGUCAAUGGGCGAGAGCCUGAACCAGCCAAGUAGCGUGAAGGAUGACUGCCCUAUGGGUUGUAAACUUCUUUUAUAAAGGAAUAAAGUCGGGUAUGGAUACCCGUUUGCAUGUACUUUAUGAAUAAGGAUCGGCUAACUCCGUGCCAGCAGCCGCGGUAAUACGGAGGAUCCGAGCGUUAUCCGGAUUUAUUGGGUUUAAAGGGAGCGUAGAUGGAUGUUUAAGUCAGUUGUGAAAGUUUGCGGCUCAACCGUAAAAUUGCAGUUGAUACUGGAUAUCUUGAGUGCAGUUGAGGCAGGCGGAAUUCGUGGUGUAGCGGUGAAAUGCUUAGAUAUCACGAAGAACUCCGAUUGCGAAGGCAGCCUGCUAAGCUGCAACUGACAUUGAGGCUCGAAAGUGUGGGUAUCAAACAGGAUUAGAUACCCUGGUAGUCCACACGGUAAACGAUGAAUACUCGCUGUUUGCGAUAUACUGCAAGCGGCCAAGCGAAAGCGUUAAGUAUUCCACCUGGGGAGUACGCCGGCAACGGUGAAACUCAAAGGAAUUGACGGGGGCCCGCACAAGCGGAGGAACAUGUGGUUUAAUUCGAUGAUACGCGAGGAACCUUACCCGGGCUUAAAUUGCAGAUGAAUUACGGUGAAAGCCGUAAGCCGCAAGGCAUCUGUGAAGGUGCUGCAUGGUUGUCGUCAGCUCGUGCCGUGAGGUGUCGGCUUAAGUGCCAUAACGAGCGCAACCCUUGUUGUCAGUUACUAACAGGUUCCGCUGAGGACUCUGACAAGACUGCCAUCGUAAGAUGUGAGGAAGGUGGGGAUGACGUCAAAUCAGCACGGCCCUUACGUCCGGGGCUACACACGUGUUACAAUGGGGGGUACAGAGGGCCGCUACCACGCGAGUGGAUGCCAAUCCCAAAAACCUCUCUCAGUUCGGACUGGAGUCUGCAACCCGACUCCACGAAGCUGGAUUCGCUAGUAAUCGCGCAUCAGCCACGGCGCGGUGAAUACGUUCCCGGGCCUUGUACACACCGCCCGUCACACCAUGGGAGUUGGAAAUGCCCGAAGUCAGUGACCUAACCGCAAGGGAGGAGCUGCCGAAGGUGGAGCCGAUGACUGGGGUG
rnacentral:rRNA from 1 species